rnacentral:rRNA from 1 species
UGGGGAAUAUUGCACAAUGGGCGAAAGCCUGAUGCAGCAACGCCGCGUGAGUGAUGAAGGUCUUCGGAUUGUAAAGCUCCGUCUUUUGGGACGAUAAUGACGGUACCAAAGGAGGAAGCCACGGCUAACUACGUGCCAGCAGCCGCGGUAAUACGUAGGUGGCGAGCGUUGUCCGGAUUUACUGGGCGUAAAGGGUGCGUAGGCGGAUGUUUAAGUGAGAUGUGAAAUACCCGGGCUUAACUUGGGUGCUGCAUUUCAAACUGGAUAUCUAGAGUGCAGGAGAGGAGAAUGGAAUUCCUAGUGUAGCGGUGAAAUGCGUAGAGAUUAGGAAGAACACCAGUGGCGAAGGCGAUUCUCUGGACUGUAACUGACGCUGAGGCACGAAAGCGUGGGUAGCAAACAGGAUUAGAUACCCUGGUAGUCCACGCCGUAAACGAUGAGUACUAGGUGUAGGAGGUAUCGACCCCUUCUGUGCCGCAGUAAAACACAUUAAAGUACUCCGCCUGGGAAGUACGAUCGCA